CCUACGGGGGGCUGCAGUGGGGAAUAUUGGACAAUGGGGGGAACCCUGAUCCAGCCAUGCCGCGUGUGUGAAGAAGGCCCUCGGGUUGUAAAGCACUUUCAGUGAGGAAGAACGCCUGGUGGUUAAUACCCAUCAGGAAAGACAUCACUCACAGAAGAAGCACCGGCUAACUCCGUGCAGCAGCCGCGGUAAUACGGAGGGUGCGAGCGUUAAUCGGAAUUACUGGGCGUAAAGCGCGCGUAGGUGGCUUGAUAAGCCGGUUGUGAAAGCCCCGGGCUCAACCUGGGAACGGCAUCCGGAACUGUCAAGCUAGAGUGCAGGAGAGGAAGGUAGAAUUCCCGGUGUAGCGGUGAAAUGCGUAGAGAUCGGGAGGAAUACCAGUGGCGAAGGCGGCCUUCUGGACUGACACUGACACUGAGGUGCGAAAGCGUGGGUAGCAAACAGGAUUAGAUACCCCAGUAGUC
rnacentral:rRNA from 1 species